GGUGACGAGUGGCGAACGGCUGAGUAACGCGUGGGAAUCCACCCCAAAGUGAGGGAUAAGCAUCGGAAACGGUGUCUAAUACCGCAUAUGGUCUUCGGAUUAAAGGAUUUAUCCGCUUUGGGAGGAGCCCGCGUACGAUUAGAUUGUUGGUGAGGUAAUGGCUCACCAAGUCGACGAUCGUUAGCUGGUCUGAGAGGAUGAUCAGCCAGACUGGAACUGAGACACGGUCCAGACUCCUACGGGAGGCAGCAGUAAGGAAUCUUCCACAAUGGGCGAAAGCCUGAUGGAGCAACGCCGCGUGCAGGACGAAGGCCUUCGGGUCGUAAACUGCUUUUGUUAGCGAAGAAUUUGACGGUAACUAACGAAUAAGGAUCGGCUAACUCCGUGCCAGCAGCCGCGGUCAUACGGAGGAUCCGAGCGUUAUCCGGAGUGACUGGGCGUAAAGAGUUGCGUAGGUGGUGGUGUAAGUGAAUAGUGAAACCUGGUGGCUCAACCAUUCAGACUAUUAUUCAAACUGCAUCACUCGAGAAUGGUAGAGGUAGCUGGAAUUUCUAGUGUAGGAGUGAAAUCCGUAGAUAUUAGAAGGAACACCAAUGGCGUAGGCAGGCUACUGGACCAUUUCUGACACUAAGGCACGAAAGCGUGGGGAGCGAACCGGAUUAGAUACCCGGGUAGUCCACGCCGUAAACGAUGGAUACUAGCUGUUGGGGGUAUCGACCCC
rnacentral:rRNA from 1 species